rnacentral:rRNA from 1 species
UACGGGGGGAGCAAGCGUUGUUCGGAUUUACUGGGCGUAAAGGGCGCGUAGGCGGUCAGCACAAGUCAGUUGUGAAAUCUCCGGGCUUAACUCGGAAAGGUCAACUGAUACUGUGCGACUAGAGUGCAGAAGGGGCAACUGGAAUUCCCGGUGUAGCGGUGAAAUGCGCAGAUAUCGGGAGGAACACCUAUGGCGAAGGCAGCUCGCUGGGACGUUACUGACGCUGAGACGCGAAAGCGUGGGGAGCAAACAGG